GACGAACGCUGGCGGCGUGCCUAAUACAUGCAAGUAGAACGCUGAAGAAGAGGAGCUUGCUCUUCUUGGAUGAGUUGCGAACGGGUGAGUAACGCGUAGGUAACCUGCCUUGUAGCGGGGGAUAACUAUUGGAAACGAUAGCUAAUACCGCAUAACAAUGGAUGACACAUGUCAUUUAUUUGAAAGGGGCAAUUGCUCCACUACAAGAUGGACCUGCGUUGUAUUAGCUAGUAGGUGAGGUAACGGCUCACCUAGGCGACGAUACAUAGCCGACCUGAGAGGGUGAUCGGCCACACUGGGACUGAGACACGGCCCAGACUCCUACGGGAGGCAGCAGUAGGGAAUCUUCGGCAAUGGGGGCAACCCUGACCGAGCAACGCCGCGUGAGUGAAGAAGGUUUUCGGAUCGUAAAGCUCUGUUGUAAGUCAAGAACGAGUGUGAGAGUGGAAAGUUCACACUGUGACGGUAGCUUACCAGAAAGGGACGGCUAACUGCGUGCCAGCAGCCGCGGUAAUACGUAGGUCCCGAGCGUUGUCCGGAUUUAUUGGGCGUAAAGCGAGCGCAGGCGGUUUGAUAAGUCUGAAGUUAAAGGCUGUGGCUCAACCAUAGUUCGCUUUGGAAACAGUCAAACUUGAGUGCAGAAGGGGAGAGUGGAAUUCCAUGUGUAGCGGUGAAAUGCGUAGAUAUAUGGAGGAACACCGGUGGCGAAAGCGGCUCUCUGGUCUGUAACUGACGCUGAGGCUCGAAAGCGUGGGGAGCGAACAGGAUUAGAUACCCUGGUAGUCCACGCCGUAAACGAUGAGUGCUAGGUGUUGGAUCCUUUCCGGGAUUCAGUGCCGCAGCUAACGCAUUAAGCACUCCGCCUGGGGAGUACGACCGCAAGGUUGAAACUCAAAGGAAUUGACGGGGGCCCGCACAAGCGGUGGAGCAUGUGGUUUAAUUCGAAGCAACGCGAAGAACCUUACCAGGUCUUGACAUCCCGAUGCUAUUUCUAGAGAUAGAAAGUUACUUCGGUACAUCGGUGACAGGUGGUGCAUGGUUGUCGUCAGCUCGUGUCGUGAGAUGUUGGGUUAAGUCCCGCAACGAGCGCAACCCCUAUUGUUAGUUGCCAUCAUUCAGUUGGGCACUCUAGCGAGACUGCCGGUAAUAAACCGGAGGAAGGUGGGGAUGACGUCAAAUCACCAUGCCCCUUAUGACCUGGGCUACACACGUGCUACAAUGGUUGGUACAACGAGUUGCGAGUCGGUGACGGCAAGCUAAUCUCUUAAAGCCAAUCUCAGUUCGGAUUGUAGGCUGCAACUCGCCUACAUGAAGUCGGAAUCGCUAGUAAUCGCGAAUCAGCACGCCGCGGUGAAUACGUUCCCGGGCCU
rnacentral:rRNA from 1 species